rnacentral:rRNA from 1 species
AACGAACGCUGGCGGCAGGCCUAACACAUGCAAGUCGAACGCCCCGCAAGGGGAGUGGCAGACGGGUGAGUAACGCGUGGGAACCUUCCCUGUGGUACGGAAUAACUGACCGAAAGGUUAGCUAAUACCGUAUACGUCCGAGAGGAGAAAGAUUUAUCGCCAUAGGAUGGGCCCGCGUCGGAUUAGCUAGUUGGUGAGGUAAUGGCUCACCAAGGCGACGAUCCGUAGCUGGUCUGAGAGGAUGAUCAGCCACACUGGGACUGAGACACGGCCCAGACUCCUACGGGAGGCAGCAGUGGGGAAUAUUGGACAAUGGGCGCAAGCCUGAUCCAGCCAUGCCGCGUGAGUGAUGAAGGUCUUCGGAUUGUAAAACUCUUUCGCCGGGGAAGAUAAUGACGGUACCCGGAGAAGAAGCUCCGGCUAACUUCGUG